UAAGUUGUUUGGGUUUUUAACGCUGUC
rnacentral:sRNA from 1 species